ensembl:lncRNA
GGGGUCAAAUGUCACCAUUUUGGGGUCAAAGAGCGCCGAUAUGGGGUCAAAGGUCACCGAUAUGGGGUCAAAGGGUACGUAUAUGGGGUCAAAGGUCACAUAUAUGGGGUCAAAGGGCACCGAUAUGGGGUCAAAGGUCACAUAUAUGGGGUCAGAGGUGGACAUGUGGGGUCAAAGGUUACAUUUUUGGGGUCAAAGGUCACAUAUAUGGGCUCAGGGGACACAGAUUUGGGGUCAAAGGUCACAUUUGGGGGUCAAAGGUCACGAUUGGGGGUCAAAGGUCACCAUUUUGGGGUCAAAGAGCGCCGAUAUGGGGUCAAAGGUCACCGAUAUGGGGUCAAAGGGUACGUAUUUGGGGUCAAAGGGCACCGAUAUGGGGUCAAAG